AGAGUUUGAUCAUGGCUCAGGAUGAACGCUAGCGGCAGGCCUAAUACAUGCAAGUCGAACGGGAUUAAGGAGCUUGCUUCUUAUGAGAGUGGCGCACGGGUGCGUAACACGUAUGCAACCUACCUUCAACUGGGGGAUAGCCUUCCGAAAGGGAGAUUAAUACCGCAUAACAUAAUUGAGUGGCAUCACUUGAUUAUCAAACGUCAGGGUUGAAGAUGGGCAUGCGUCCGAUUAGUUAGUUGGUGAGGUAACGGCUCACCAAGGCUACGAUCGGUAGGGGAUCUGAGAGGAUGGCCCCCCACACUGGUACUGAGACACGGACCAGACUCCUACGGGAGGCAGCAGUAAGGAAUAUUGGUCAAUGGACGGAAGUCUGAACCAGCCAUGCCGCGUGCAGGAAGACGGUCCUCUGGAUUGUAAACUGCUUUUGUUAGGGAAGAAACUUCCGUACGUGUACGGGACUGACGGUACCUAAAGAAUAAGGAUCGGCUAACUCCGUGCCAGCAGCCGCGGUAAUACGGAGGAUCCAAGCGUUAUCCGGAUUUAUUGGGUUUAAAGGGUGCGUAGGCGGCGUUGUAAGUCAGUGGUGAAAGUUUGCAGCUUAACUGUAAAAUUGCCAUUGAUACUGCAGUGCUUGAGUACAGAUGAGGUGGGCGGAAUGUGUCAUGUAGCGGUGAAAUGCAUAGAUAUGACACAGAACACCGAUUGCGAAGGCAGCUCACUAAACUGUAACUGACGCUGAGGCACGAAAGCGUGGGGAUCAAACAGGAUUAGAUACCCUGGUAGUCCACGCCCUAAACGAUGAUUACUCGAUGUUAGCGAUACACAGUUAGCGUCAAAGCGAAAGCGUUAAGUAAUCCACCUGGGGAGUACGCCCGCAAGGGUGAAACUCAAAGGAAUUGACGGGGGCCCGUACAAGCGGAGGAGCAUGUGGUUUAAUUCGAUGAUACGCGAGGAACCUUACCCGGGCUUGAAAGUUAGUGAAUGAUACAGAAAUGAAUCAGUCAGCAAUGA
rnacentral:rRNA from 1 species